GACAGAGGGUGCAAACGUUGCUCGGAAUCACUGGGCGUAAAGGGCGUGUAGGCGGGCAGGUAAGUCGGGCGUGAAAUCCCUGGGCUCAACCCCAGGAACUGCACUCGAAACUACUUGUCUUGAGUGUCGGAGAGGAAAGCGGAAUUCCUGGUGUAGAGGUGAAAUUCGUAGAUAUCAGGAGGAACACCAGUGGCGAAGGCG
rnacentral:rRNA from 1 species